rnacentral:rRNA from 1 species
GGCGAACGCUGGCGGCGUGCUUAACACAUGCAAGUCGAACGGAAAGGCCCUGCUUUUGUGGGGUGCUCGAGUGGCGAACGGGUGAGUAACACGUGAGUAACCUGCCCUUGUCUUUGGGAUAACUUCAGGAAACUGGGGCUAAUACCGGAUAGGAGCUCCUGCUGCAUGGGGGGGGUUGGAAAGUUUCGGCGGUAGGGGAUGGACUCGCGGCUUAUCAGCUUGUUGGUGGGGUAGUGGCUUACCAAGGCUUUGACGGGUAGCCGGCCUGGGAGGGUGACCGGCCACCUUGGGACUGAGGUACGGCCCAGACUCCUACGGGAGGCAGCAGUCGGGAAUAUUGCACAAUGGGCGGAAGCCUGAUGCAGCAACGCCGCGUGCGGGAUGAUGGCCUUCGGGUUGUAAACCGCUUUCGCCUGUGACGAAGCGUGAGUGACGGUAAUGGGUAAAGAAGCACCGGCUAACUACGUG